CACCGCGGUUAUACGAGAGACCCUAGUUGACACCUACGGCGUAAAGGGUGGUUAGAAAUAAAUAUAAACUAAAGCUAAAGACCUUCCAAGCCGUCGCACGCAUCCCGAAGGCACGAAAUUCAAACACGAAAGUAGCUUUAUUAUCACCGACCCCACGAAAGCUAAGGAA
rnacentral:rRNA from 1 species